AUGCUGAGUGCGGCUGGAUGGGUACGCUUCACAGAUUCCCACCAGUAAUCUACCUCAUUACGGAACAUAAAGGUGGCGAAUGGAACCUUCUGUUCCUCGGUACAUCCCAAGAAAUCGAAUAUCUUGUUAAUUUGUUUGACCCACGUUUCUGCCUUAAUUGGAUCCGGCUUUCCCCAGAAUUCUGGUGGUCCCAACUCUUUAAACUGCUUGGCUGUGACAAACCAUGCGUUGUUAUCAUUUCCACCUGUAUUUUGUGCAUGAGUCUCCCUCGUCUGAUUUGAACUGCAAAAAGCUUCUAAAU
rnacentral:lncRNA from 1 species